GGGGAAUGAGUAAAGUGGCGCACGGGUGAGUAACACGUAGGUAAUCUACCUUCGGGUGGGGAAUAACCCAGGGAAACUUGGGCUAACACCGCAUAAUGCAGCGGCACCACAUGGUGACAGUUGUUAAAGCGGGGGAUUUUCGGACCUCGCGCCUGGAGAGGAGCCUGCGGCGGAUUAGCUAGUUGGUAAGGUAACGGCUUACCAAGGCAACGAUCCGUAGCCGGCCUGAGAGGGCGGUCGGCCACACUGACACUGACAUACGGGUCAGACUCCUACGGGAGGCAGCAGUCGGGAAUUUUGGGCAAUGGGCGAAAGCCUGACCCAGCAACGCCGCGUGAAGGAUGAAAUCCUUCGGGAUGUAAACUUCGCAAGAAUGGGAAGAAUUAGUAGGGGUCAAUACCCCCUAUGAUGACGGUACCAUUUGUAAGCUCCGGCUAACUCCGUGCCAGCAGCCGCGGUAAUACGGGGGGAGCAAGCGUUGUUCGGAUUUACUGGGCGUAAAGGGCGCGUAGGCGGUCAGUGCAAGUCAGUUGUGAAAUCUCCGGGCUUAACCCGGAAAGGUCAACUGAUACUGCUCGACUAAAGUGCGGAAGGGGCAACUGGAAUUCUCGGUGUAGCGGUGAAAUGCGUAGAUAUCGAGAGGAACACCUGCGGCGAAGGCGGGUUGCUGGGCCGACACUGACGCUGAAGCGCGAAAG
rnacentral:rRNA from 1 species